rnacentral:rRNA from 1 species
AUUGAACGCUGGCGGCAGGCCUAACACAUGCAAGUCGAGCGGAGCGGCGGACGGGGGAGUAAUGCUUAGGAAUCUGCCUGGUACUGGGGGAUAACGUUCGGUAACGGGCGCUAAUACUGCAUACUCUCAGAUGAGCCUAGGUCGGAUUAGCUAGUUGGUGGGGUAAAGGCCUACCAAGGCGACGAUCCGUAGCUGGUCUGAGAGGAUGAUCAGUCACACUGGAACUGAGACACGGCCCAGACUCCUACGGGAGGCAGCAGUGGGGAAUAUUGCGCAAUGGGCGCAAGCCUGACGCAGCCAUGCCGCGUGUAUGAAGAAGGCCUUCGGGUUGUAAAGUUCUUUCGGUGGCGAGGCGUUACCUGCAGAAGAAGCACCGGCUAACUCCGUGCCAGCAGCCGCGGUAAUAC